GCACAUUGUAAGAGCUGUAAAGAGAGAGGGAGUGGAGAGAGAACAGGCAGAACCUGAUAUGUAAAUGAGCAGAGCAAACGAAAGUAACUUUCGAAGACCGAAUGAUCAUUCCAGACUCUGUUUCUAUUGAGAGAGAGAUAAAAGGCUGGUUGAAUGCGUUGCCUAUGAAAGCUACUUCAUCUGCAAGAAAACAGGCAGCUGCACCAGUGACUGGGUCAGUGCUGUAAAAUGAGUCUCUCUGAGGAGAGAGAGGAGGGGGGCCCUGCCUCUAAAAUGAGUCUCUCUGAGGGACAUGACACCAAAGCUAAGAGGUAAGAUGACAAUUUUAUGAAGAAUUUAUUAUGUUUAUUUCCAAAAUAAAUAGCAAUCUCAAGAUGAAUGCAGUUACUGUAAAUCUCUCUAGAUAAGAGCAUCUGCUAAAUCAGGGGUUCUCAAUCCGGGGUCUGUGGAGGUACUGCAGGGGUUCCGCGGCACCCUGACUGUACUCGUUGCAAUGUAAGACAUUUGAUAGAACUUUCACAUGACACGACCACUUUGCCUGCUCUUAAUUAUUGCCUAAUAUAAUGGCAUGCAUAUUUUUUUUAACCAAUUGUGAUCGUUUUUACAAGCAGAAUUCUGACAAUAUUACCGUUAUAUCAACACACUCUUCACACCCGUUUAACAACUCUAAAUAGCUUUGGCAUAGUAGACAUCAAGUCCCUUGCCAAUAAUGUUGCCGACAACGUUGCAUACAAUGUUAAUUUUCAUCAAACACAUAUUAUGCCCUAGAUGCCUUCAAUUGCCUAAUUUAUAGCCAUGUCCAAUUUAGGAUUAUUUUUUAACAAUGUGAUGUUGCGCUCCAAAGGGAGAACUUGAAAUAACAUGAUGUAGAUAAUUAAAUAAGUAAAAAAAACGUGUUUAUUAUACACUCUUAGAAAAGAAGGUUCCUUAUAGAACCAAAAAGGCUUCUAUCACUUCCUUAAUAUAUGGAACCACUAAAAGUGAUAUAUAUUUUUGGGUUCAGUGAAGAAGAACCUCUAGAGUUCUGAUCAACGAAAGGUUAAUGUUUUGAGGACGUGAACCCAGCAGCCCUCUAGGGGUCAGAUCAAUUCAUCCCGUUUUUUCCAGCGCCCGGCCCGGGAUAUAAACCAGCCACCUUUGAACCACAGGUCCAACUCCUGCCACAGCUCCAACUCCUUAGCCGCUGGGUGAAAACCUGAGUUAAUUUUCUGAAAUAAGCAUGAGUUAAUCUGCCAAAAUGAAGACAAAAUGUUUUAGAGACAUACAUGGUAUCACUUGUUAUACAUAAGUAUUAUACAUAAAUCAUUGCCAAAAGCACAAGACAUAUAUUAUUAAUGGAUUGAUCAUAUAGAAAUAUAAAACAUUAUUUUUAACUACUCCAAAGCAAUGACGUGUUUGAGGAACCAUUUGACUCACUGCAUUAUUCUAUAGUAUUAUCAAGACACCUGCUGUUAACUCUUAAAUCCGUGGAGGGCUUCUCCCUCUCUUGUUGACGGAUGCUGGCUACCUCUGUCCGGUUCUCCUCUCUUCACUAGAUGGACGGUAACUUUAGUGUUUAAACCCUCUGUGUCCAAGGACCAAACUUUUGAAUAUUAUUUUCGGGGCUCCUCAGUAGGCUGGACACAUUACAUUUUUAACAAUGUUUUUUUUGUUGAUAAAAAGUACUUAAUUGCAUCCGCCAUGGAGCCCAGUUUCGUAACAUUACCUUAUGUCUCUAGUUGUGAAGUAAUUGCUAAAGAACAGGCCUUAUUUCAGGUCAUUUUUCACCCUGCCAGCUCCUAUUAGUUCUAUUGAGCACUGCAGCACCAACUCACCUUCUGUUCUGCUUUUCCAUUGUUAUCAAUGAGACUUGUCGGCAUUAAAUUGAACGAUGACCUCAGGUAACUUAUUAACAGUAUUACAGCUACUUUUUGAGUGAUAUCACUAUUCGCCUGUGUUUAUGUUGUGGUGACCCACAGUACUAAAUGUUAAACAUUUUCUGGUCAUGGUUAACCAUAUGUGUUUUCAGAAAAAGGUUUACAACUAUAACAAAACACGUCCCUGUCCUCUUUUUCAAGAUGUAGCCGAUUUAAACAGACAGAAGACAUUUUUUAAUUAAGAAAUAACACUUUUUUUAACGACUUGUUGUCCCUAAAUGGCUGCUGGGUAAUUUGAUGUGCCUCGAAAUCUUCGUUCGUAGGCAUCAGUUUGAGCGAAUGAAGCGCAGGUUCACUGAUUUGCAAACCAAAUGGACAGGUCUAGCUCAUUGAUUUGUAGAUCUGACGCAGUUUGCUACCUCAGAUUAUGAGUUUAGCAGCUGUCGUGAAUGAGUUAUGUUGAGUUAUGUAGAACCCACAGAAGGCCACAGGGAGGAGCUAGAGAGAUGUAAACCCAUGUAUUUAUAAUGCCCUUUUUACGUCAUCAGAUGUCUCAAAGUGCUAUACAGAAACUCUAACCCUAGGUAUAAUCUAUUUUAUCCUUAACCCUAGUCCUAGGUAGAACCUAUUUUAGCCUUAAUCCCUAACCCUAAUUGUAGGAUAGGGUAGAGUAGCCUAGAACACGUUUAUAAACUAUUUUAGUUAUACUAUUAUGUUAGUAAAUACCAUUAUAGCACUAAAUAGCAUGUUGAUUAUUUUGUUAAUCAAAACCUGUCUAAUCAUUUUGCUUUUUUGUUUUGUUAUUUUAUUAUAUUUAUUGUUGCAAGGCAGAACACUUGAUAAACAAGACACAUUCGUUUUAUUUUCAAAUGUGGUUUGAACUGGGUGACCUAGUAACCUCUAUGUGAAAGUCCAGCAAUUGGCAUGUGAUAGGUGGGGCAGGUUUGAGACUGAUCUAACGAAUUAAUGAUAAAAUACACUUUAUUUCUCAGCUGCCUCACAAAUGUCUGUCAGUGAAUUAAUAACUUUUAAUUGCUAAAUAUUUCCAAUAGAUGGCAGCAUAAGACCACAAAGCAUCAGUUAUAGGCUACAAGCAGCAAUAUGAUUGACAUAAAAUAGCAUGCAACCACAGACUAAAUGUCCCAUGAUUUUCUAAAAUGGCCACUUUACUUUAGUUAGAUAUAUAUCUCAUAUUAGGCCUGUGUUGUUUUUGGGAGAGCAACAUAAAUAGUGACUAUAGCAGGUAUUGAACCCCGGGUAAAUGAUGACUAGUCACCACCUCAACCGUAGUAUACAUGCAUUAUAAAACAUUUUCUUAAUUCCGAACUGAAUUUGGUAAAAGGGCUUUUAUGUUCUCUGCGCCAUCGUCUUGGAACGCCUUACAAAAUACUUUUAAACUGGAAGAACUCGUCCCGAUUGGUAUUUUUAAAUCACUGAUGAAUGAUCUUGAGACUGAUUCCCUGACCUGUCAAUGUUUUUAAUAUGCUGUUUUGAUUUUGUUAUACUCUUGUGAAUUCUAUGGUUUUUACUAGAUUACUUGUAGUUUUUCAUGUUGUUUGUCUGUAAUUUUUGUAAUGUCUUGGUGCUGGAUAUCUUGGCCAGGACGCUCUUGAAAAGGAGAUUUUAAAUCUCAAUGAGCCCUUCCUUGUUAAAUAAAGGUUAAAUAAAAUUAAAUAAAAUUCAUAUCUCAUAUUGGGACUAAACGGCCACGAUACAGAAAAGACAAGAGUGCGUCUUCCAGCCCGCCAAUAAAUUACAUCAUGCAACCCUCCCGGUGAGGAAAUUUGCCUCAACAUGCCCCUGGAGAAGGCAGAGUGACGACACCAGCCUUUUAGUGGGGCUGAGUUGACUACUUGUGUGAGAAGGCAGAGUGGGUCGAUGCUGGUUGAUGAAUUUGACAAUGAAUGUACUGGGAAAAUACGUUUUUCUCAACCAGAGGUGACUGAAUUAAUGUUCAGGCUUAUUGGUAAUCGAAAUAGUGAUGAAGUACAAUUUCAAAACAUGCCCCUAUUUAAGAUUACUCUGAUGUUUCUUUGUUGAUGUACCCAAUGAUUAAUGAUAGACCUACCGAGCAAGUUAUGUCCUCAUUGUGAUUUUACAGACGUAUUUAAUAUCUCUUAUUUAUACACUUUAUUUGAUUAUUUAUGAAAUACAUAUUGUUAUAUUUGAUAGCACUUAUAUGUUUUUCCUCCAACCCCUUUCGAUGUGAACGGAUAAAGAUCAGUGAUACUAUCAAGAGCAGUGUGCGGUUUCCUUUUUCCCUCAAAACAUGAGCAUAAAAACAGGUAAUAAUAAACAUGAAUCAUCAUUAUUUUACUUCACGGUUAUCUAUUAAAUGUUUUUUCAGUCCUUCCUCUUGCGUUAGUAGUGUGGAAAGGGACAGAAAGAAGCUCACACAGGAGUUUUCCUGUGAGGGGGAGUGGUGGUGUAUCCCGGGAGAAAACUAAACUAAUCUUCUGAAAUAUCAUUUGUGGUCUUAUGCUGCCAUCUAUUGGAAUUAUGUAGGAACUGCAGUACUACUAAAUAAUUUUUAAUUCCUUACUAAAGUAGUAAUUACUCAGAAUUGCAAGAUAUAACAUUUUCUAGUUCAUUUUACCACUUAACCUGUUAGGGAUAGGGGGCAGUAUUUUCAAGGCCGGAUAAAAAAACGUACCUGAUUUAAUCUGGUUAUUACUCCUGCCCAGAAACUAGAAUAUGCAUAUAAUUAGUAGAUUUGGAUAGAAAACACCCUAAAGUUUCUAAAACUGUUUGAAUGGUGUCUGUGAGUAUAACAGAACUCAUAUGGCAGGCAAAAACCUGAGAAGAUUCUAUAUGGGAAGUGCC